UUAUGUUAAGAAUUGGUUAUAUACUUUUAAUCUUGGUUGUUAGAUUGCAUUCAUUAAAUGUGUUGGUAGUCUCUUAAAUGCAAUCCAACGGCCGAAAUUAGAAGUAUGUAACCAAUCUUUAACUUAAAUACUUAUUGGAGAAUGGUUAAUCGUUUUAUUAGUCCCUGAAUUUAGACCCGAUUUGCAUUUGAGUACCUCAAUUUCUAAAAUGGUUCCCGUGGUCCUUUAACUUUAGUUUCGUUAGAACAAAUGGUCAUGCCAUCAAUUUUGUUAACUUUUCUGUUAAAUGCAGGGGCAAAAUUGUAUUUUUGUAUCAAAAUUGAUUAAAAUAUGAAUAAAUAAUUAAAAUUAAACUCUCUCUCUCCCCCUCUAUCCUGAUUCUACUCCCCCCAAACUUGAUUUGUUAUUUUUGUUUUGUUUUUUAUUUGAUUUAAUUUUAUUGUUAUUUUAAAGAUAUAAUUUUUUAUUCAUUUUUUUGGUUUUAAUAUAAAAAUACCAUUUUGCCCCUUGCAUUUAAUAGAAAAAAUUAACAAAA
rnacentral:lncRNA from 1 species